rnacentral:rRNA from 1 species
AUUGAACGCUGGCGGCAUGCCUUACACAUGCAAGUCGAGCGAGCGGCGGACGGGUGAGUAAUGUAUGGGGACUGCCCGAUAGAGGGGGAUAACUACUGGAAACGGUGGCUAAUACCGCCUACUAUUGGAUAACCCAUAUGGGAUUAGCUAUUAGGUGGGGUAAAGGCUCACCUAGGCGACGAUCUCUAGCUGGUCUGAGAGGAGGAUCAGCCACACUGGGACUGAGACACGGCCCAGACUCCUACGGAGGCAGCAGUGGGGAAGAUUGCACAAUGGGCGCAAGCCUGAUGCAGCCAUGCCGCGUGUAUGAAGAAGGCCUUAGGGUGGUAAAGUACUUUCAGCAGGGAGGCGUUACCCGCAGAAGAAGCACCGGCUAACUACGUGCCAGCAGCCGCGGUAAUUC